rnacentral:rRNA from 1 species
ACCUGCGGAAGGAUCAUUACCGAGUGAGGGCCCUCUGGGUCCAACCUCCCACCCGUGUUUAUUUACCUUGUUGCUUCGGCGGGCCCGCCUUAACUGGCCGCCGGGGGGCUCACGCCCCCGGGCCCGCGCCCGCCGAAGACACCCUCGAACUCUGUCUGAAGAUUGUAGUCUGAGUGAAAAUAUAAAUUAUUUAAAACUUUCAACAACGGAUCUCUUGGUUCCGGCAUCGAUGAAGAACGCAGCGAAAUGCGAUACGUAAUGUGAAUUGCAAAUUCAGUGAAUCAUCGAGUCUUUGAACGCACAUUGCGCCCCCUGGUAUUCCGGGGGGCAUGCCUGUCCGAGCGUCAUUGCUGCCCUCAAGCACGGCUUGUGUGUUGGGCCCCGUCCUCCGAUUCCGGGGGACGGGCCCGAAAGGCAGCGGCGGCACCGCGUCCGGUCCUCGAGCGUAUGGGGCUUUGUCACCCGCUCUGUAGGCCCGGCCGGCGCUUGCCGAUCAACCCAAAUUUUUAUCCAGGUUGACCUCGGAUCAGGUAGGGAUACCCGCUGAACUUAAGCAUAUC